AUACGGAGGAUCCGAGCGUUAUCCGGAUUUAUUGGGUUUAAAGGGUGCGCAGGCGGCCAUUUAAGUCAGCGGUUAAAUCGUGGGGCUCAACCCCAUUCUGCCGUUGAUACUGGGUGGCUUGAUUGCGGUCGAGGUUGGCGGAAUUCGUUGUGUAGCGGUGAAAUGCAUAGAUAUGACGAAGAACACCGAUUGCGUAGGCAGCUGACCAGACCGCAAAUGACGCUCAUGCACGAAAGUGCGGGGAUCGAACAGGAUCAGAUACCCUGGUAGUCCGCACAGUAAACGAUGAAUACUUGUUUUCGGCGAUAUAAUGUCGGAGGCAAAGCGAAAGCGAUAAGUAUUCCACCUGGGGAGUACGCCGGCAACGGUGAAACUCAAAUGAAUUGGCGGGG
rnacentral:rRNA from 1 species